CAGUCUGUCUUUGAUUCACCCACAGGUAGGAUCUUUAAAUCUGGAAAGUCAACAAUUUUAAUUAAGUUUUAGAAACCUGAUUUUUUUUUUUCUUAUUGAAUCCACCACAGUUUGUGGGUUUUUUUGAGUUCUUAAAGUAUUUUAAUCACAGAAAUAAUGGCUGAAGCAGGACAAAGACUGGAGGUUCUGAGCUUCAACAAAAACCUUUUCCGAAUCGUUUCCUUGCUGUUUCUGGUUCACAUCGGACAGUCACUGGAUUUUCAAACACCAGUGAUGGAUUUCAUACAGAAAACAAGAGAAGGAGUCAGACUCCUUAUGGAAAAUGAAAGUGGUACUGAAUUUAUCUUAACACUUUUGGACAACGCAGGCUCUGUGGCAAACAAGAAGCAGCUUAAAAUAUUUCAGCAGUAUCUUCAAGAAGCUGUAGAUGAAGCAUACAGACAGAAGGUAGAAAAAAAAGCUGAAACUACAGUAACUGCACAACAGUUUCAUAUGAUGGUCCCAGGAUAUUUUGUUAAAAGGCAGCAAAUGCAAACUUCAUCAAAUCCACUGAUGGACAGUAUGGACCAAAUGCUUAAGAUAUCUAUAAAUUACUUAGAGCUGAAGAAAAACGUAUUUACAGGGGAAACAAAGGAAACAGAAACCAAACUGGAAUAUACAUUGAAGAAUUUAAAAUCCCGCCAAAACAUUCAUGAUCCUGUUGGAAUGAUGACAAUUCUCCUGUUGCUGUUGCUUUGCAUAGUAGCAGUUUAUAAAGUAUGUUACUGGAUAUAUACUUGGAUAAUAUGGAUAUUUUAAGAUAAAUACACAUGUAUAACUUGAAUGUUUUCGGUCUGGGAACUCCAGGACAAGAUUGUUUGUGUCGGUUAAGCCAUUUUUGUGUUGACUUAUUCAUAUGUCUUUAAUCAAUGUUCUGUAUUAAGCCUGGAUUGUGUGGGAGAGGUCAUUAUUUCUGUUGAAGUGCUACCACAUCUAAAAAAAAAUUUAUAAAAAUUAUUCUUGAUGUGAUUUUUAUGGUGUUUGUUUCUUCGUAUAUUUUAACUUUCUGCGUCCACAAUUACAAUAAGUCACAGAUUUUAAAGUGUGAAGUGUAAUCUAAGGUUUUGUUGUAGAUCAGAAGACAGUUCUGGUCUCAUUCAUUCAUCCUCUGCCAAAGGAGGGUGAAGAUUCACACAUUAAAUACAUACAGUAUGUACCUUCCAGGAGAUUUCGAAUAAAAUCUCUGAAAAAAGGA